ensembl:snRNA U6 U6 spliceosomal RNA
GUGCCUGCUUUGGCAGCACAUACAUAAAAUUGGAAUGAUACAGAGAAAUUAACAUGUGCAAGAAGGACAUGUAAAUUUGUGGAAAAUUCCAUAUUUUU